UGAUGUGCGUAUUUAACAUUUUCUUUUA
rnacentral:sRNA from 1 species